UCUCCGGCUACCGGUGACUCUUACACUCCCAAUUUUCUAUUGGCUACAGCCUGAAUGACAACGGGAGACACAAACCAUCGUUCGCCCUCAAAUCCUAGAGGCCGGUGGCCAAUAUGGAGUGGUUGUGUUAUUCAUUCUACAUUUUUCGCAGAGAAGACUUCAAGAAAAGCAGAUGAAGUUGCAGCGUGGGAAUUUUGAAAUAAGAUUGUCUGCUCUGGGACUGAUCCAUUAUCAAGGAUAAAAUACACAGGUUAUUUUUUUAAAAACAUGGAAAGACCUACAUGUGAAGAACAAAACAAGAAGAACCAAGAGAAUAUUAUAUAAUACAACAGAAAUUUGUUUUAAGAAUAAUUGUGAAUGUCCAAUUGCAGAGAAAAAAACCUGAUAAAUAGAAACAUACAAGAUAAAAUUUUGUAUAUAUGUAUCUAUGGGUUGUUUUUUUUUGUUGUUGUUGUUCAAAUGUGUUCUCUAGUGUAGGAGGGAAAGAAUGUGGGGAUAUACCUGGAAACUUUAAUGUAACAUACAAAUAAAUAAAUUAAAAAUUAAAAUUCUUAAAAGGAUAAA